AAACUCCAUUGAAAUCCCCAUUUUGGACAUGAAUGAACCCGACUCUCUUUUCCUCCUCCUUCCACGUUUCUCUCUCUGGAAAAAACAUAAAACCAGACAAACCUCAAAGAGCUGUUUCUUCUUUUUCAUUUUAGGGGCGUGACUUCAAACCCAGCAGCAGAAACCUUAAACCUGUUACUGUAAUGGCUGUUGAGAGCUGCAAUGACCAAGCUACCCUUGGUCUUCACGAGGUACCCUUACCCUCUCUUCACACCUUUGUGAAUCGAAGGUCAGUUUGGUGCAUUCACAGAUGAGAGAGAGUACAAUGUAGCUCUCUUUCUCCCUGUGUAAAAUUACUCCCUUCCCUUAUUGCGUGCAAAAAGGCAGACAGGAUGGAGCCAGGCAAAUAUAAAUAUAAAUAUAUAUAUAAUAUAAAUAUUUUUCUAUAUAGUUUCUUGCUCAAGAAAAAAAAAUCUCACACCUUUUUUUUAGUUUCAUUUUUUUGGGGUUUUUUUUCUCUUAUUUUCUGAUGAGAUUUUAAAGGUGGAGGAGGAGCAUACGGUUCAUCAUCAAUCGUGGGCAUUCAAUAUCAUACAUUGAAAUGCAGAGGAAAGAAGACGGUGGGAUUUGAGAAGCAUUUUCGUGAUAUAGUUUUUUUCACAUGUUUGUGAAAGGUUGUACUUUGUUUUAAUGUAUUUAUGGCCAUGACGGUGAUGAUGUAUGUUUUUCCCAAUUUUCCAUAGAUUGACUUUGCUUCUAUAAAUAUAGAGAUAAAGUUGCUCUA
rnacentral:lncRNA from 1 species